UACGGGGGGGAGCAAGCGUUGUUCGGAUUUACUGGGCGUAAAGGGCGCGUAGGCGGGAUGGCAAGUCGGUCGUGAAAUCCCUCGGCUCAACCGAGGAACGUCGAUCGAUACUGCUGUUCUUGAGGAUUGCAGAGGAGACUGGAAUUCCCGGUGUAGCGGUGAAAUGUGUAGAGAUCGGGAGGAACACCGGUGGCGAAGGCGGGUCUCUGGGCAAUUCCUGACGCUGAGGCGCGAAAGCGUGGGGAGCAAACGGG
rnacentral:rRNA from 1 species